rnacentral:rRNA from 1 species
CCCGCUGAACUUAAGCAUAUCAAUAAGCGGAGGAAAAGAAACUAACAAGGAUUCCCCUAGUAACUGCGAGUGAAGCGGGAAAAGCUCAAAUUUCAAAUCUGGCGGUCCCGCCGCCCGAGUUGUAUUCUGGAGAAGCGUCUUCUGCGCCGGACCGUGUACAAGUGCCUUGGAACAGGACGUCACAGAGGGUGAGAAUCCCGUCUUUGACACGGACCUCCGGCGCUCCGCGAUGCGCUCUCGAAGAGUCGAGUUGUUUGGGAAUGCAGCUCAAAACGGGUGGUAAACUCCAUCUAAAGCUAAAUAUUGGCGAGAGACCGAUAGCGCACAAGUACCGUGAGGGAAAGAUGAAAAGGACUUUGAAAAGAGAGUUAAACAGUACGUGAAAUUGUUGAAAGGGAAACGCUUGAAGUCAGUCGCGUCCUUCAGAAAUCAACUUUGACCUUUGGGUUUGAGUGCACUUUCUGUUUGGACGGGUCAGCAUCAAUUUUGACCGCCGGAAAAGGGCUUGGGGAAAGUGACAUCCUUUGUUGAUGUGUUAUAGACUCGGGUACAUAUUACGGUGGUUGGGAUUGAGGAACGCAGCGCAUUUAACUGGGGCCUAUCGCUCACACAUGUGCUUAGGAUGCUGGCUUAAUGGCUUUAAUCGACCCGUCUUGAAACACGG